rnacentral:rRNA from 1 species
AUUGAACGCUGGCGGCGGGCCUAACACAUGCAAGUCGAGCGGAGCGACGGACGGGUGAGUAAUGCCUAGGAAUCUGCCUGGUAGUGGGGGAUAACGUCCGGAAACGGGCGCUAAUACCGCAUACUAUCAGAUGAGGCUAGGUCGGAUUGGCUAGUUGGUGGGGUAAAGGCGUACCAGGGCGACGAUCCGUAACUGGUCUGAGAGGCUGAUCAGUCACACUGGAACGGAGAGACGGUCCAGACUCCUACGGGAGGCAGCAGUGGGGAAUAUUGGACAAUGGGCGAAAGCCGGAUCAAGCCAUGCCGCGUGUGUGAAGAAGGUCUUCGGAUUGUAAAGCACUUUAAGUUGGGAGGCGGUACCAACAGAAUAAGCACCGGCUAACUUCGUGCCAGCAGCCGCGGUAAUAC